GAGCGGCCCCCCCCGGGCUGGCAGGGUCGCCACCGCUGUUUGAAUCUAUUCCGGGAGGUUUCAUUACAUGACAUGGAUGACUACAUCAGGAAGUUACAGCCUCUUCAGUUAACUCCUAUGCACAAAGAAUGAAGCCCUACUAUGGUGGAACUUGCAAGUAUAAAAGGACCAUCUGCAAGGAGCAAAUUGUAGGAUCAGGGCCUUAAUUAUUAGGCAUUCCAUAUUUCUUGGAAAACGGAUUGGGUGAACGGCAUUAAUUCAGUUUUAGUCCUUCCUAUGAUUGAAAUCCAAAGACAACAAGUAAAAGUGGCUGCUUGAAGAUCUUUUUUCCUGAUAACCACACCAUAGGAAUGGUUAAAAUUAGAUCUGUCAUUUUAAAGGGAGUAGUCAUCAAUUCUUGAAGAAACCAUAUCUAAUUCAGCAUUGUCCUUACUGCUUUUCAACAGAUGGUCUCUCAAAUUAAACCAGAUAAGAUAUACAGACAAGUUUCUCUUCUGCAAAGCUCAGUGAAGUCAGGCAUCCCCGGUCAGCGCUGUCUGAAGGGUACCGGGAAAGACCCUGGUAUUCAGUCCUCGGGCUCGAGAUCCAUGGGCCUACCGAAAGCAGGUAUGUUGGUUCCAUGGUGGAUGUCUUCUUUGAAUAUGAUAUGCUGUACUCUUGGUGGGAAACAAAAGGAGACUCCCAAGGCGCACGGAGUAUGACACCAUGUAAGUGAACAGGUGUGGUAUAGAAGGCAGCAGCAAACCAGCAUCAAUAGCUGCAGGAGGAGAAGCAGCAGUUCCCUUCUCAGCACAUCUGUGAAUUAUUUAAUUUUCAGCCCUUUCCAUUAAGGGUUUUUCUUUCCCUCUGCAGUUCCUCAUUCUUUUCCGUUGAAAGACUACUCUUCCUUUCUAAGAUUUUCU
rnacentral:lncRNA from 1 species